GAAUAGUUCAAUGAUCAUUUUGUAACUUUUUGAAGUUUAGUGAUCAAAACAUAAAUUUACUAAUAGUUUAGUGAAAUUAGGUGUAAUUUACCCUUUUUAUAAUAUUUAUUAAUUUUUAAACAGUGAAAUAGGUUUCUUGGACGGGCUGAGUCGUGUAAAAAAUGGGCUUGAGUUAGAAAAUUUGUUUGGACCCAGGCCCAUGACUUGACUUGGCC
rnacentral:lncRNA from 1 species